UUGAACGCUGGCGGCAUGCUUUACACAUGCAAGUCGAACGGCAGCGCGGGCUUCGGCCUGGCGGCGAGUGGCGUACGGGUGAGUAAUGCAUCGGAACGUGCCCAGUAGUGGGGGAUAGCCCGGCGAAAGCCGGAUUAAUACCGCAUACGACCUGAGGGUGAAAGCGGGGGACCGAAAGGCCUCGCGCUAUUGGAGCGGCCGAUGUCGGAUUAGCUAGUUGGUGGGGUAAAGGCUUACCAAGGCGACGAUCCGUAGCUGGUCUGAGAGGACGACCAGCCACACUGGGACUGAGACACGGCCCAGACUCCUACGGGAGGCAGCAGUGGGGAAUUUUGGACAAUGGGGGCAACCCUGAUCCAGCCAUGCCGCGUGCGGGAAGAAGGCCUUCGGGUUGUAAACCGCUUUUGUUCGGGAAGAAAUCCUCUGGGCUAAUACCCCGGGGGGAUGACGGUACCGGAAGAAUAAGCACCGGCUAACUACGUG
rnacentral:rRNA from 1 species